GACCCUGCACAAUCUGCAUUUUUUUACUUUGCGACACGAGUCCCCAUCCGAUUUGUCUCGCGCACGUGCUCUCUGCUUAAUUAAAAUUCAUUUCACGACGCUGCCCGAUUUGUUCUGUGCAUGUCUAAUGUUUUACAACACACGUCAUUCGUCAGGUUUGACUUGUACUUGCGAGUCAUUUUUGUGUUGUCGUUUAUCUCUGUCUGUAAGUGGACUUGUUACUGGAAAAGAUGGAAAGUUUUGAAUUUUAUAACGUCUUGGAAGAUGUGUCGCCUGAAAAAUUUAACUUCAGUCGAAUGAACAGGGAGCGAAAUGAAAUGCGACGUGUGUCUGUGAACUUUAUAAUGGACAUGUACAGCUUUUUGAUGCCCAGUGGUAACCAGCCUACCAUGUGGCUCAACAGAUGCCAGUGUCCCCGAAUACUGAGACACAAUUGGAUGUUCUUUUCUUCUGCUUUUAAGAUUCCCAGUUUGGGAUAAUGUGCAGUUCAUGUUAGAUUUGCUAUUUCUACAGUUACAGUGAAGUAGAAGAGUCCGGUCGUGUUAUGGGGCAGUAGUUAAAGAAGAAGGACAGAGAGAUGUGUGCCAUGUUGAAGUAGCGGCUGGUCCUCCUGCCCGCUCUUCUAGAAUCCUCCAUCUAAACCUCUGCUCUGAUCUGCUGUGCCUUUGCCAAGUGAUCACGAGUUUAUUGCAAUGGUGCCCCAUCCCUCCCCC